UGGGGAAUUUUUGACAAUGGGGGAAACCCUGAUCCAGCCAUCCCGCGUGUGCGAUGAAGGCCUUCGGGUUGUAAAGCACUUUUGGCAGGAAAGGAACGUCAUGGGUUAAUACCCCGUGAAACUGACGGUACCUGCAGAAUAAGCACCGGCUAACUACGUGCCAGCAGCCGCGGUAAUACGUAGGGUGCAAGCGUUAAUCGGAAUUACUGGGCGUAAAGCGUGCGCAGGCGGUUCGGAAAGAAAGAUGUGAAAUCCCAGAGCUCAACUUUGGAACUGCAUUUUUAACUACCGGGCUAGAGUGUGUCAGAGGGAGGUGGAAUUCCGCGUGUGGCAGUGAAAUGCGUAGAUAUGCGGAGGAACACCGAUGGCGAAGGCAGCCUCCUGGGAUAACACUGACGCUCAUGCACGAAAGCGUGGGGAGCAAACAGG
rnacentral:rRNA from 1 species